rnacentral:rRNA from 1 species
GAUCAUGGCUCAGGAUGAACGCUAGCUACAGGCUUAACACAUGCAAGUCGAGGGGCAGCAUGGUCUUAGCUUGCUAAGGCUGAUGGCGACCGGCGCACGGGUGAGUAACGCGUAUCCAACCUGCCCAUCACUUGGGAAUAACCUUGCGAAAGUAAGACUAAUGCCCAAUGACAUCCCACGAAGGCAUCCGAAUGGGAUUAAAGAUUUAUCGGUGAUGGAUGGGG